rnacentral:rRNA from 1 species
UGGAUCCUACGGGGGGCAGCAGUGGGGGAUAUUGCACAAUGGGGGAAACCCUGAUGCAGCGACGCCGCGUGUGGGAAGACGGUCUUCUGGAUUGUAAACCACUGUCCCCAGGGACGAAAAUGACGGUACCUGGGGAGGAAGCUCCGGCUAACUACGUGCCAGCAGCCGCGGUAAUACGUAGGGAGCAAGCGUUGUCCGGAAUUACUGGGUGUAAAGGGAGCGUAGGCGGGGAUGCAAGUUGGGGGUCAAAACUACCGGUUCAACCGAUAGCCGCGCACAAAACGCC